UGGCACUGGAGGUUCUAUUUACAGCUAUCUUUUCAGUUUCCUUUCUGACUAGCCAAACCAGUUCCUCGGGACAUCCCUCUCUCUUCUUCCUUCCCCAGUUUUCCCUUCAUCUGAAAGACCCUCCCAGCCCUGCUAAGACCCCACCUCAGAGCCUCCUCCCUUGCAGAGAAGCGCUAUUUCCAUGCAUGCCCCUUCUUAUGCUGUAGGACAUGCGGGGACGAAGGUGUGACUUUCCCCUUCCUUCCGUCACUCAGCAAGGACUCCAGAUGCCCACUCUGUGCCAGAUGUUGCUCUGAGCACCGGGGAGAAUGGCAGCAGCAGCGAGGCAGGAAUUCCAAGGAGCACUGCUUCACAAAAGGGGCGUGAUCACCUGGGUGGUGCUGCUGGUUGGAGGGCAGACCCAUAAGGUGGAAGUCAUGGGGAUCUUAAGGAAGAGCUCCAGAGGCGUGGCAGUGAUAUAGGAAGCAAAACACUAGCUGAGAGGGCCAAGGUGUCGAAGGCUCGAGAAGAUGUGAAAUAGCCAUCGUGCGGCGCGGAAGAGCAACCUGGGUAGGAAAAUCCGGAGAAAACUAGCAUUAGAGACGUGACUGGAACACCAGUCCGCUUACCUGGAUUAGAUGCGCCGCAAAGACACAGAGCUGCAGCCUCGCGGGGGGCAAACACUGUGCACAGAGACCCAGGAAACAUGAAGCAAGUUCAACUCUGAGCAGACGCAUUAACUGUGCUGUGUUAUCCGCAUCCCCACACACAGUAUUUGGGGUCAUCUACUGCGACUCCUUUGGCCUCUCCUUCCCUACGUGUCUGUUAAUUAACCAUGCCUGCUCCUUCACAGAGGCCCCUCACAACAUCGGGGGAAGACAGUCACGCUAUUUUUACAAAAAGGCAGAAGACACCUUCUCAAAUGACCCUCUUAACCACAUUUCACUGAUUUGGGAACCGCCUCCUCUAAUUUACCAACCGGCCAAAGGCUUUCUAUACCUGGAAUUCGCUCCGCCCAGCCUUGGUAACAGAAAAGUCUGUGGCUGGGUCAGAACCCGACCUUUCAAUCUCAACCACUUCACAGCACAGCAUUCCCCAACGGCACUCCAGGAGACCCCGGUGUGCCCUGACAUGUUAUGUGUGCUCCGUGAACAGAAGGUCACACGUGCUUGGGAAUCCCUGGGCUAGCUGAGCAGCUGGAUUUACCACCCGGCCUGGCAAUCUUUUCCAUGCUAACCUGAGUGCACAUCUCCAGGGGGUGGGAGCCAUGUCUGGACCCCCCUGUCAUUUACCUGUGAAAUCCUUCUGUUCAGCAGCCUCUCUCUGGGGAAGUUCGCCUUUACAGAAUGAACACUUUGCCUGUCCCACACUCCUUUCUGGGGGCCUACUUUGUCCUCCUCAACUCCCCUUUUUGAAUGGAUGCCAUACCUACCGCCUGCCCCAACCCCUGGCAAUGGUGGCCCCGUUUCUACCUUCUGCCACUCCCGGUGAUACCACAACUGCUGUUCAUGCCUCAAGCACCUGAGCCCGGCCCUGAUGUUCCUCAUGCUGAGCUUUGCCUGAACCUGAGCAGGGGUGUCACCUGGAGGACAAGUCAAAUCUGGGCUUGUCUGAAAGCCUGUGGGGGAUGACCUGGGAGCCAGUGCAUGAGAGAAACCAAUGUCUCCUGGGAAAGGGGUAAAGGCCUAAGGGGAGAGACAGGUGUGAGGGCACAGCUGCAGGGCCAGGAGGGAGGGGUGACACCGCGUGGAAUGCAGUGUCUGUCACAGGAGCCUCCAUGGAAGAAUGGAGAACAGAACCAGCACUCCCUCGUCGGGCACUGCUGACAGCCCAAGACGGAGUGGCCAGUGCUGGGUCCAUGGCUUGGGCCAUUUGACUUCUUCCUUUUGAGGAUGACUUAGAUAUCCUUUGCCAUCUAUGGGAGCUCUUUUAUAUCCCAUGAUUAUCAGUCUUUGACCCUUUUAUAUAUUGCAAAUAGUUAUACACAGUUUCCUUCCAGGCUACUGCUCGUUUUUAAACUACCUUUAUGGUAUCUUUUUAUAUC